rnacentral:lncRNA from 1 species
GGUAGCUUAUGCCAUUAUUCUUGAUUUUCUUCUCAUUUAUCCCAUGACAUGUUCAUCUCUAUAUCAUGUAAACCCAACUCAACAUUUUCACCUCCCAUUUGAGAAAACACAGGGGUUUUUUUCUUAAUCUAUGUUGAGAACGGUUACGCAUACCUCAGACCAAAUCACCCUUUUCCUUAGUUCAUAAAGACUUUCUAGAAGCUUGACAUUCAUGAUGACUUUGUGAUCUUACUGCAUGCAGCCAGAUUUAACAGCCCCAGGUGUACACAUUCUGGCUGCCUGGUCACCAAUUUCUCCAAUCUCUCAAAUGAGUGGUGAUAAUCGAGUAGCGCAAUACAAUAUAUUAAGCGGCACGUCAAUGGCUUGUCCACAUGCUACUGGGGCAGCUGCCUACAUCAAGUCAUUUCACCCCACCUGGUCUCCUGCUGCUAUUAAGUCUGCUCUUAUGACUACUGGUAAUGACUGAAUUUUAUUCCCGGCCUUUCAAAUUAUGAAAGAGGUGAUAGUAAUGGAUUUUAGUCCUUUGUGUGUUUUGUAAGCAGCUACUCCCAUGAGCGCUAGAAAAAAUCCGGAAGCCGAAUUUGCAUAUGGUGCAGGCAAUAUUGAUCCUGUAAGGGCUGUGCACCCUGGUUUAGUGUAUGAUGCCGAUGAGAUUGACUUUGUAAAUUUUUUGUGUGGAGAAGGCUAUAGUAUUCAGACUCUACGGAAAGUCACCGGGGAUCAUAGUGUCUGUUCGAAAGCUACGAAUGGAGCCGUUUGGGAUCUAAAUUACCCGUCCUUUGCUCUUUCCAUCCCCUACAAAGAAUCAAUCGCUCGCACGUUCAAAAGGAGUGUCACAAAUGUUGGAUUACCAGUAUCCACAUAUAAAGCAACUGUUAUUGGUGCCCCAAAGGGACUCAAAAUCAACGUUAAACCAAACAUUUUAUCAUUCACAUCCAUCGGGCAGAAACUAUCUUUUGUGUUGAAGGUUGAAGGACGUAUAGUUAAAGACAUGGUCUCUGCUUCGUUAGUGUGGGAUGACGGUUUACAUAAAGUGAGGUCCCCCAUUAUUGUGUAUGCAGUCCAAUAAAAUUCCAAAAGCCUGGUGUUUUGUACCAGAGGCAUCGGAAUUGUGGUAUCUAUCACGUUGAACUAAAUGAUGUGGUAUCUACAUAAGAUGGAAAUAAAUGAUAAUAUUUAGUAUUGGUUGUAUUACCUGUCCAUACGAGCUAUUAGAUCUAGCUCUAAUAGAUCUAAUACCCUUUACAUAUGAAGGUUCGGUCUCAAUACCCUUCUUUCUCCUCUCCCAGCCACUUUUCUCCUAGGCGGCCAGGCCCAUCCUUUCUUUUUGCUCUCCCUAGGCACUUUUCUCCGGGGCCCACCGCACCUUUAUGUGAUACUUUAAGGACGUAGCUUUAUCAUGGUUGAAAUUAUUGCCAAAACAUAUAUAUUUAAAUAGUAGUCAAAUAAAAAUUUCAUAAUUAAUCUAAUUUUAUUCAAAUAUACACUUAAAUAAUAGUCAAAUAAGAACUCCAUGGUUAUUUUCUUUUAAAAAAAAAUCUUUUAUGUAACAAGUUAUUGUUGAAAGUACAUGUAUCAAGUUUCAUGCCUUUUUUUGUUUCUCUUUAUUUUAUUAAUUCAUUAUUUUAAAAAUAUUUUUAUAUAUUUUAAAAUUUUUUCUACAAAUGUACUUACGUAGAAAAAUUGAAAUUAAUUAUAGUUAAAUAUAUUUGUACCAAUCUUCAAGAGGAGUGAAUUAAAUUAAUCUUUAAACAAAUCAACAUACCAUGAAAAUAACCAAAAAAUAUUUUAAAAGAACUUUUGGAAAUAAUUUUUUUUCUAAUUUGGAAAAAAAUUAUAAUUAAAUUUGAAUAAAAAUUAUUUCAUUAAAAAUGUUGUCAUGUGUGAUGUAUCGGACACUCAUGUACUAAGGGGUUUUGGCAUUUUUUUGGUUUCCUUGUCAUGAUUAUUUAUUAAUUUGUAAUUUAAAAAUUCUUUUUAUAAUUUUUUUUACUCUUAAAAGUUAAGAUAAAAGACUCAUACCUCAAUUUUGUUUAUGCACUCUGUAAACAAUACAUUUGUAUUGAUUUUAUGACAUAGGUAUAAAACAUUUUGUUGUGAAUAUGUUACAAAAUACAUAAAAAAGUGUAGUCCUAUAAAUUUAUUUUAAGAUGAUUUUACUUAAUUCUUCAAAAAUGGAAAGACCAUGGUAUUUUCUUUGUAUUCACAAUUAAAAAGAGUGCAUAGGACCCAUGUAAAAGGGAAUACAUUCUCUAUUUUAAAGGAAUGAGUUUCUUCUCCCACACCCAAGAGAAUUUGAUAAUGCGGAAUAAUUUUUACUUGUCAUCCAUGUACAAAACAUUUGUUUCGAUUUGUGAAAGACAUUUUGGGUAUAAGAAAACAAUGUACACCAAAUAAGGACCAUUGUUAUGUUUGCUCUAAUAUAAAAUUCCAAAAUCUUUGUGUUGGUGUGAUAUAAAAUUGCGAUAUCUAUAAAAUUGAAAAUAAAUGUUGUGAUAUAAGUAAGAUGGAAACAAAAGAGAAAAUUGUAAGCCUUUAAUAUUAAGGAAAUUUGGAAUUAAUUUUAAAAUAAAAUGUGUGUCAUUAAUUAUUUGACUAGUUUUUUGUAUAUGGCACGGAGGGGUUGUUUCUCAAUGUAAUACAUUAGUUAUUAAUAGGACAUGUGAAUAUUAGUUGUGGAUUAACACAGCUCCAGGUUGAUAGUGGUAUUAUAAAACUUUCAAAAAAUGACUCAUAAAUGUAGUUUUCCUCUAUUUUAUAUUUUUCUUAAUUUUUCUAAUAAAUAUAUAGACCACAUUACAAAUCAUGUAACAAUACAAUCUCCUACAUAGUUUAAUCAAUGUAAGUCAUAUGCUGAAAAAAAAAUCAAUACUCCUAGUAUAGGAAAUAAUGACUUAUUCAUAAAUAUGAAUCUUAUGCUAUAAUUAAAUCAAAAAUAGAAAUUAAAGAAUAAUAAAGAGACGAAAAAAACACAUGAAUAUAAGGUGAAAAAUCUUUAAGGAGACAAAGAACCAUGGACCAAUCUUAAUUAAUCACAAUAUCUACUAUAAAGGAAAUGUCUGGUUCAAGAUUUUACUUAAUAUACAGCUUCCAAUCCUCUCCAAGGCCAUUUGUUUAGUAUUUUAGGGAUCUUAGCUUUCCACCGUCUCCAUGUGGAACUUUUUUGGAACCCUUUCAAAUAUGAUUUUAGACUCUUUUUGAUAUCCACAGAAAAAUACAUUUAACCGAAACGAGAGUAUGGACAAAAAUAAUGGAAUUAAUGAGUAGUAAAUAAAUCUAUUAAAUAUAUACAAAAAAUGUAUAUAAAAUUAUUUCAUCAAGAUGUUUUCCAUUCUUGGAGAAUUAAGUAAAAUCAUCAAAUAGUGGGUGUUGUAAAAUUUCCUUUCAUCAAAUAGUGGCCUUUCAUUUUUCAGUUUAUAUUUUUAUUAUAUUUUUAAAAAUAAAUCAUUUGAAAUGUCGUGUAAGGAGUAACUCAAGCAUUUGAAAAUAAUGUAUAUUGGACUAUGUAGGUUGAUCAUCAAAUGUGUAUCAUAAGGUUUAAGCAGUUGCAUUUGUAUCUCAAUUGUUGAAAGUGUACAAUAAAGUUUAAAUCAUCAAAGAUGAUGAUGCAAGUAAUAUAAUUAAGUAUAGAUCAAUAAAAUUAAGGUAAAAAACAAUAAAAUCAAAGUGUAAAAUAAUGAGACAAAAUUCGGUAUAAAGAAAUGAAAUUAUAAUUCAAACGUGAUACAACUUGAUUAAUUGUGCUUUUUAAUACUUAUCAUCGAUUUAGUAUUAGAGAGGGGCCUACGAUGAUUAAAAGAGGAGGAUUGAAAGGCUCAGGUAUAUAUACAUGUCCAAAGCACCAGAAUGUGGUCCAUCUAAUGGCAAGAAAAAACUUUUUUCUCUGGUUUCUCCUUCUCAGUCUCAUUUGCACUUUGUUCUGUACCCACAGUACUACAGCAAUAUAGAUCCUGUGAAGGCUGUAGAUCCUGGUCUGGUAUAUGAUGUCGAUGAGAUUGACUAUGUAAAAUUUUUGUGUGGGCAAGGUUAUAGUACUCGGGCUCUAUGGCGUCACUGGGGGUAAUUGUGUCUGUUCUGCCGCUACAAAUGGAACCGUCUGGAAUCUAAAUUACCCUUCCUUUGCUCUUUCCAGCUUCACCAAGGAAUCUGUCACUGGAAUGCAUGGAACCAAAUUAAACCAAUAUUAUCUUUAUACUAGAAAAGCUGGAAUUGGGCUUUGUUGUAACUUCUGUUAUAUUUUUUAAAAUAUUUACGAAAGUACCAUUGCUUUCCUUUCAUAUAUAGGAUGGGAUAAUGGUAAUUAUCAAUUAAAUGCAGGUCGAAAGAUGUAGUAUGACAGCAACGUGUAUUGUUGCCAUUAUGCCACCUAUCAUGAUUUCAUAUAUAGGAAGGCAUCUUCCACAAUUUCAUUGAGCCUCUCUUUUUCCUUUACUUUGUUACUUUCAAAUUAGAACAAUUUACUUGAAUUCAGGCAAUAUGGAUAAAUCACCCGUGGGAGUGACCCAAAUUCUAAUUGCUACACCCGUCAACAUUGACGGAAAAAAUGGUGACGUAUUAUGGGAAUCGUAAUCAACUGUCGGUGGGCUGACGCAACCUUCCCACCCCCCUUUCCUCCAACACGUGAGUCACAUGCUUGAGACCUUCAAUGGCAAAACAAUUAUAUCAUGCACCUUUGGAUGAUAUAAAACAAUUAUAUAAAAGAAUUAUUUUAUAUCUAACACGUACCUUUGGAUGCUAAAGAAAUUUUAUGUCAGAUACAUGUUUUAGUGGUAUUCAAAGGCACAAAAAAGCACAAUUUAUGGGAAUAUAAAAUUUAUUUAAAUAAUUGGAGUGAGAAAAAAAAUGAAAAAUAUUUCUCUGCUAGAAAUUAGGAUUCAACAUUGUUAAAUAGGAUUUUCAGAUGGUAAUUUUACAAAAAAAAGUUGGUAAUAAUACCCUAAAAAUAAAUUGAAGGGCAUUAAUAAUGGGAUGAAAUUCUAAAGAUGAAGUCUAAUGUAAUGAUUGAUUAGGGGUCUCCAAAAAGCCCGCGGCCCGCGGCCCGCUUUAGGCCCGGCCCGGCCCGACGGGCUAAAGCCCGGCCCAAGCCCGCUAGGCCCAAGCCCGGCCCGAGCCCGUUUAUGGGCUGGUCGGGCCGCGGGCCUGGCCCGUAGGCCCGCCCUUAGGCCCGCCUUUAAUUUUUUUUUAAAAAAUAAUAUACUAUAUUUUUAUAUAUAUAUAACUAACUCAUUUUAUAAGUACAAAAGAAAUGUAGCUCAGUUGGUUAGAGCCUUGAAAUUUAAGCUUGAGGGGAGGGGUUCGAAUUCCCUCCUCUUCCUUCCUUUAUUUAAAAGCCAUUUUGGCUUAUUUAAAAAAGCCCGCGGCCCGGCUCGCUGGCCCGGCCCACCCAGCCCGCCCCCCAGCCCGCUAGCCCGCGGGCUCAUAGGCCGGGCCGCGGGCCUAGCAUUUUAGCUCGGCCCGGCCCGGCCCGGCCCGACCCGUUGACCAGUCAACAGGCCCAUAGGCCCGGCCCGAGCUGGGCCGCGGGCCUCUUAUUUACGGCCCGGCCCGCCCCGGCCCGCCCGUUGGAGACCCUUAUGAUUGAUGCUCCAACACACUCUCUCCCUCUGUAUAGUCUUUGAGCUUUAUUCAUAACUUUAACAAAAUUCUUUCUCAAAAGAAGUGACAAUAAUAAUAAAAAAGAUUGAAUUAUUGGAAGGGAUGUAAAGUAGAUGUUGAUGGGCAUAUCUUUUAAUGAAAAAAAGUCUUUGGUAUUAUGGGGGAUGACUGGUGAGUCUUUUGAUUUAUCCGUGCAUUGCUCUUUAUUCUUUUAUCUUUUUAAAUACAAAUUAUUGGAAAUGUCCUGGAAGGUGUAACAUUAGAUUAAAAGAGAAAAAGGAUUGGGAGGCUCAUGUGUAUAUAUGUAUAGAUGUCCAAGCACCACGAAGCGCAUAGCUUACCAUCAUCUAAUGGCAAAACAAAAAAACUCCUUUCUGUGGUUUCUCCUUCUCAGUCUCAUCUGCAGUCUGCUCAGCACCCACAGUACUGCAGCAGCUUCCGAGGAUGAUGUUCGAAAGGCAAGAAACACCCAUCUCUCUCUUGCUUUCUCUUAAUUAAUGGCUUGGUCAAUAUUCCAUGAACCAUACAUGCAUGCGUGGCGGAAAAAUUAAGAUUAAUCUUGCGCUGAAAAUCAUGCUUGGGUAGUGUUAAUAAACUGGAUUUGCAUCAAACAUGUUGUGGAUGCAGGAGUAUAUUGUGUACAUGGGUGCCAAGCCUGCCGGAGAUUUGUCGGCGUCUGCCAUUCACACCAACAUGCUGGAGCAAGUCUUUGGCAGGUCAGAAUUCACCUUUUGUUUUUUUGUUUUUGUUUUUUUAUUUAUUACAUAUAUGGUACCAUUUUCCCCAUGGAAUGCCUUUUCAGUGGUAGGGCAUCAAGUUCUCUAGUUCGCAGUUACAAAAGGAGUUUCAAUGGAUUUGUAGCGAAGCUAACAGAGGAGGAAAUGCAGCAAAUGAAAGGUGCGUAGGUGGGUUUAAAUCUUUCUUUAAUUGAAGUUUCUCAUGCGUGUAAUGGCUACAAAAUUAACUGUAACUUUGGAGUUUCAGGCAUGGACGGGGUGGUCUCGGUUUUCCCUAACGAAAAGAAACAGCUCCACACAACUAGGUCGUGGGAUUUCGUGGGGUUUCCCCGACAAGUUAAAAGAACAAGUUUUGAAAGCGACAUUAUCAUAGGAGUGCUUGACACUGGAAUAUGGCCAGAGUCUGACAGCUUCGAUGAUAAAGGAUUUGGCCCACCGCCAAGGAAAUGGAAGGGCACUUGCCACGGGUUUUCCAAUUUCACUUGCAACAAGUAAAUCUCACUCGCAACAGUGUCUAAAUACCCUGUUACAAAAGUUUAAAUACUAUCCUUAUUCCUUAACAAAACUUUCCACUGAUGUUAUUGCAGUAAAAUUAUUGGAGCCAAGUACUAUAAGAGCGAUGGAAAAUUUAGCCCAAAAGAUUUGCAUUCCCCAAGAGAUUCAGAAGGCCAUGGGACACACACUGCGUCAACUGCGGCAGGGGAUUUAGUCAGCAUGGCAAGUCUAAUGGGCUUUGGUUUAGGAACCGCACGGGGUGGGGUUCCAUCAGCUCGGAUAGCUGUGUAUAAGACGUGUUGGUCUGAUGGCUGUCAUGAUGCUGAUAUUCUUGCAGCAUUUGAUGAUGCAAUUGCUGAUGGGGUUGAUAUAAUAUCUAUUUCAGUUGGGGGUAAAACUCCCCAGAAAUAUUUUGAAGAUUCUGCUGCAAUCGGAGCUUUUCAUGCAAUGAAAAAUGGGAUACUAACAUCAACUUCUGCUGGUAACGAGGGACCUCUCCUUGUUUCCGUCACAAAUGUCUCGCCAUGGUCUCUUUCCGUGGCUGCUAGCACCACAUAUCGGAAGUUCUUGACCAAGGUGCAACUAGGUGACAGGAAGGUUUAUAAAGUAAGCUUGCUCACACUUUGGACUAAUAACCAUCACUUUCAAAUAUCAUUUAUUAAAGUAAUUGGAUUUCAACUACGUGGAGCUGAUUUUUGGAGGUGGAGGUUAUAUCAUUGCCUUUUGUGUAGGGAAUUUCGAUAAACACAUUUGAGCUCCAUGGCAUGUAUCCUUUGAUUUAUGGUGGGGAUGGCCCGAAUACUAGAGGAGGUUUUAGAGGGAACACAUCCAGGUACUUAUUAUUAUAGAAAGAAAAAUAAUUAAUUGAAAAUGAAAGCCGUAUGUUAGAAAUCCUGAAUUUUAAAGUGUGUGUGAUAGAUUACAGGACUUUCAUCACUGAAAUGCAGGUUUUGCCAAAUAAACUCACUGAACCCAAAUUUAGUGAAGGGUAAAAUUGUCCUUUGCAUUGGGCAUCGCGGUGGGUCUGAAGCAGCAUGGAGUGCAUUCUUGGCAGGUGCCGUUGGGACUGUGAUAGUGGAUGGACUCCAACUCCCCAGAGAUUUCAGCCGCAUUUAUCCCUUGCCUGCAUCUCGCCUUGGUGCAGGAGAUGGUAAAAGAAUUGCCUACUACAUCAGCUCAACAAGGUAUCAAUUUACACAGCUUCCUACUUUUAUUUGGAGAUGACUGUAAAUUAUUUAAGUGAUAUGCUUUAGGAUUUGUACGGCAUAUAUAUACUUAGUCUUACUACAUUUAAACAGUAACCCAACUGCAUCGAUAUUGAAGAGUAUUGAGGUUAGUGACACAUUGGCCCCAUAUGUACCCCCCUUCUCAUCAAGGGGUCCAAACCCAAUUACACACGACCUUCUCAAGGUAGCUUAUGCGAUUAUUCUUGAUUUUCUUCUCAUUUAUUCUAUUACAUUUUCAUUUCUAUAUCAUGUAAACCCAAUUCAACAUUUUCAUCACCCAUUUGAGAAAACAUAGGGUUUUUUUUCUUAAUCUAUGUUGAGAACGGUUACACAUAUCUCAGGCCAAAAGACCCCUUUUCCUUAGUUCAUAAAGACUUUCUAGAAGCUCGACAUUCAUGAUGACUUUGUGAUCUUACUGCAUGCAGCCAGAUUUAACAGCCCCAGGUGUACACAUUCUGGCUGCCUGGUCACCAAUUUCUCCCAUCUCUAAGGUACCUGGCGAUAAUCGAAUAGCGGAAUACAAUAUAGAAUCCGGCACGUCAAUGGCUUGCCCACAUGCUACUGGGGCAGCUGCCUACAUCAAGUCAUUUCACCCCACCUGGUCUCCUGCUGCUAUUAAGUCUGCUCUUAUGACUACUGGUAAUGACUGAAUUUUAUUCCUGGCCUUUCAAAUUAUGAAAGAGGUGAUAGUAAUGGAUCUUAGUCCUUUGUGUGUUUUGUAAGCAGCUACUCCCAUGAG